UGUGGCUCAGUGGUAGAGUGCUCGUCUAGCAUAUGUGAGGCACUGGGUUCAAGGCCCAGCA
rnacentral:tRNA from 1 species